rnacentral:rRNA from 2 species
CAGGUGCUGCAUGGCUGUCGUCAGCUCGUGUUGUGAAAUGUUGGGUUAAGUCCCGCAACGAGCGCAACCCUUAUCCUUUGUUGCCAGCGAUUCGGUCGGGAACUCAAAGGAGACUGCCGGUGAUAAACCGGAGGAAGGUGGGGAUGACGUCAAGUCAUCAUGGCCCUUACGAGUAGGGCUACACACGUGCUACAAUGGCGUAUACAAAGAGAAGCGACCUCGCGAGAGCAAGCGGAACUCAUAAAGUACGUCGUAGUCCGGAUUGGAGUCUGCAACUCGACUCCAUGAAGUCGGAAUCGCUAGUAAUCGUAGAUCAGAAUGCUACGGUGAAUACGUUCCCGGGCCUUGUACACACCGCCCGUCACACCAUGGGAGUGGGUUGCAAAAGAAGUAGGUAGCUUAACCUUCGGGAGGGCGCUUACCACUUUGUGAUUCAUGACUGGGGUGAAGUCGUAACAAGGUAACCGUAGGGGAACCUGCGGUUGGAUCACCUCCUUA